UAUUUCUUUUUAUUUUUUUUUGUUUUAGUUUGUAAAAUAUUUUAGUACGUUAACACUAAUUAUUUGACAAAUUUAUUUUUAAAAAUGAUGUCGAUAAGGUAACACUUAUCAUUUGACAGUUUGAAAUUAAUUUGUUAUUAUUAAAUAGUCAUAAUUCAACAAUAAUUUAAAUGUACAAUAAUAGCUAUUUUUGCAAUAUAUGAUAUAAAAUAAAUGUGUACAAACGAAUUAUCGAUGUGUUAGUGUAUAUAAAAUUGAAAAAUAUAAGUGCAAAAUUAAAUUUAAAUAUAGAAAAAAUGUUAUUAAAAUAUUGCAAAUUUUAAACGCGAAUAUCUCUUAAACUAUAAUCUUCCUGCGGCUAUAUCCUUGAUCAGGUUAAUCUCCUCUAUCCGACCAUUUCCUUUGUAUCCUUGAAAUCCUGGGACGGUAUACUAAAUUCUUCCCUUUAUUUAUGUUGCUUGAGGAAGAACGUGAGAGAAGUCGGCGUGAUCUAAAAAUUCACUGAAAAUCACUGAGGGACAAGAGCAACCCUUUCGAUGUGGACGAUACAGUGUUUAUUAAAAACUAUCGGUUAAAUAAGGCGGCCUUUACGUAUGUCCUCGAUGUUCUAGAGAGGAAUGCAAGUUCUUCAAGAUCUUCAUCUAUAUCUUUACUUCAUCGAUUGUCUUCGGUUUUACGGUUUUUAGCUGAAGAAGGCUAUCAGCAUGGAGUGGGUAAAGACUUUGAUAUCCCAAUGGCUCAGUCAACAUUUUGUUGCAUCUUAAAAGAGGUAUUGGGAUUGCUUCAGUCCCAUUUGUGCCCUCAGUGGAUAAACCUCGAGUUAAGUAACGUUGAAAAAAGUGAAGCGAAAAAGGAUUUUUUUCAGAAAUACGGAUUUCCAGGCGCGAUUUUGUGUGUAGACGGGACACAUAUGUAUUAAAAUCGUUGCUCCAACUAAAGAUAAGUUUCUCUAUUAUAACCGCAAAGGAUACUUUAGUAUCAAUGCCAUGAUUAUAUGUAACAAUAAAAUGAAAAUACGUUAUGUGAAUGCUCAGUUUCCUGGCAGCAAUCACGACUCCCACAUAUGGAAUGUCAGCAAUGCUCGUUAUUUUCAUGAGAAAAAGUACUUCGAUGGUGAACGAAACAUUUGGCUUUUGGGUAUUAUACAUACAAACAUAUAUAUUACAAAAAUUCCCAAAAUUUUAUAUUUGUACAGGAGAUGCUGGAUAUGCCUUAGAACCAUGGAUAAUGGCACCAUUCCGUACCCCUCCCUCAGGAAGACCAGAAGAGAAAUAUAAUAAAAUACCUGCAAAAGCGAGAAAUAUCGUUGAAAGAACAAUAAGAGUUUUUAAAAAUCGAUUUACAUGUCUUCUAGGUGCUUGCGAGCUUCACUACGAGCCAUGGAAGGCAUCCCAAAUCGUUAAUGUUGCGGCAGCGUUACACAACGUUUGCAUUCACUAUCGCGUGAAUGAUGAAAGUUUCGAAAAUAAUUCGGAACCAAAUAUUUUUACAGAAAGUAAUGAAAUUCUUUCAUCAACUUAUAAUGAUGCAGCUUCACAAAUCAGAGAAGCUAUAUAUGCAACACUUACCCGAGUAUAAUAUCCUAAAUAAAUAUUAACACAAAAUAUUUAUAGUUUUAAUUAAGUAUUUAUUUAAUUAAUUUAAUUAUUUUUUGUCAUGGCUUGCAA